GUCUAAUAACAAGAUGAAAAUUCUGAAUGUCCAGACCAGGCUCACAGAUGCCAAACACAUUAACUGGAGAGCCAUGCUGAACAACAGCUACCUCUACAUCGAGAUCCCAGAUGGUGGUCUGCCAGAGGGGAGCAAAGACAGCAUUGCAAUUCUUCUCAAGUUUGCAGAGGAGCAGCUGCACGUUGCCGCACAAGAACCAUGAUGACAGAACCGCUCUGCUCAGUACCUUCAGCUGUAUGGGCUUUGAGAUUGUGAGACCAAGGCAUCCCCCUUGUCCCCAAGAGACCCGAUACUUGCUUCAUUGCCAACACAUUUGAGAAAGUCUUCUAAAGAGGACGAGCAGCAGCUGCACCACCUGCACUCUCACCUUUGCCACCCCUGAGAGAUCAUUGUAGGUAGUAGCCCUUUUGUGUGUCUCGCUUUGUGCUGGUGGUGUAACCAACUGCUGCACUGGGGUACAAAUGCGAGGUCUGCUUCCCUCUUCUGGGUUUGUCUGCAUGUUGUAAUUAUGCAAAUAAAUGCUCAUUCCAAAUUAGCAGUGUAUUUCUUGAAGUUUUAAUAUUGUGUUUGUGAUACUGAAGUGUUUGCUUUAAUUCUAAAUAAAAAUUUAUAUUUUACUUUUUUAUUGCUGGUUUAAGGUGAUACAGAUUAUCCUUGUACUUCAAGCAGGAUUUUUUUAUUUGAAGUUUUGGAAAAAGUUUUAUGUCUUAACUUGGAAAGAUAGGCAUUAAUCUACCAUUCUUUUGCUUUCAAAAAAUCUGAAUAAAAAUGAUUACAUCUA